rnacentral:rRNA from 1 species
CCUACGGGAGGCUGCAGUGGGGAAUAUUGGACAAUGGGGGCAACCCUGAUCCAGCCAUGCCGCGUGUGUGAAGAAGGCCCUCGGGUUGUAAAGCACUUCCAGUGAGGAAGAACGCCUGGUGGUUAAUACCCAUCAGGAAAGACAUCACUCACAGAAGAAGCACCGGCUAACUCCGUGCCAGCAGCCGCGGUAAUACGGAGGGUGCGAGCGUUAAUCGGAAUUACUGGGCGUAAAGCGCGCGUAGGUGGCUUGAUAAGCCGGUUGUGAAAGCCCCGGGCUCAACCUGGGAACGGCAUCCGGAACUGUCAAGCUAGAGUGCAGGAGAGGAAGGUAGAAUUCCCGGUGUAGCGGUGAAAUGCGUAGAGAUCGGGAGGAAUACCAGUGGCGAAGGCGGCCUUCUGGACUGACACUGACACUGAGGUGCGAAAGCGUGGGUAGCAAACAGGAUUAGAUACCCUAGUAGUC